ensembl:lncRNA
AUGCAUCUCUCCGGGUCUUUCUGCUGCUCUUCGCCGCUGCUCUUCGCCGCUGCUUCUCAUCACGGCCUCCAAAACACGAUCAAACACCACAAAAACUCUUCUAAAGUCGACGUUCUUUGCUGGAGAGAUUCAGAUGUAAGCUUUGGAGAAAAUCCGCUCGCUGAUAGAUACCCGUGUAGCGCUGCUGCGCCGCUCUGAGUGCGCCGCGGGCGUAAAGACGAGAGCGCACGGACACACAGCAACUUUUGCGCUCGCUGAAUCUUCAAACUGAUUACGAAACGGUGCAAACUGUGAAUCACUGUAAACGUCCUUGUGAUUGGCUAACACUUCCAUCCAUCAAAACAUUGCUGGCUAGGCAUUGGCUAGCUUACAACAGCCAAAACUGAGGUGCGGUGAUUGGCACCUCGCUAAACCAGUCAGUGACUCCUGGCCUGUUCUGGGUUAUAACAUCGCCUGUGAUUGAAGGAGAGAGACGAGGGAGGGCUCAUUUUGCUCAGAAGAGACCAUUCUAUAGGAAACAAAAGCUGGAAUACGAAUUAGAAUCGAUAUUUCUUUGAAAAUGGACGCUAUCGACAACUAUAACUCGAAUCGCUCAUUUAAACAAAGGAGGAUCUUUCGUUUUUUCCCCUAUUUUUUCGUUGUUUUGGAUUAAAAAGUGGGAUGCAUCUUGAAGAGUAGACCCUUACCUUGAAAUGUGUGCUGGUGUUUCUUGGAAUAGUCUGAGCUGACCAGAACUAUAGGCGAUGAAACUUAAGUACAGCCAUGCACUUUGUAGGCUACAUGUUUAAAUGACCGGUCCUUCAGCAUUUAUGUUAACCCUUUCCUCUCUGGUGUACUCCUAUCUGGUGUAAGCUCAGAACAUGGAUAUUGAGUGUUUUAGCUUUCAAAUGAUAUAUAGUUUAUGAUAGUUAAUUGAAUAUUUUUCUAAAACAAAGGUUAUUAAAUUCACAGCCGCACCUAGACACGCCCUUCCGGCCUGCGGACGGGCCGAUGAAUAUCUCAAUAACAUUGUCUUUUCUCUUUUGCAGGAAUGGAACAAGGAUGGUUUUGGGGUGUUCUUCUUCAGGCAUUAUACCUCUCAUUAUGUUUGGGGGGUUAAUGUUUAAGCUCUUGUAUGUUCAAUUAAUUUGGGAGCAAGAACCCCCAUAAGGAAUCAUACCGCCAAAGAUAAAUAGUGUUCAAUAAAUUCAAGUAACUUGCCA